rnacentral:lncRNA from 1 species
AUUGCUUUCACCUUGUUGACUUGCACAACAGAUUUGCAGCACUAACAGUAAGUAAGAGCAUGAGAAAGAGAGACCUAACGUCUAGGAAUGCAGAGCAAAAGAGAAAAUGUACCUGGGAAAAGGAGGAAGUCAGAUCCAAGGCCUGGACAAGAGUCAUCCCCUUCCGCGGCUCGUCAGCAGCACAGCGAGUGGUGGAGCAGACCUUUCAGAGCUGUGACAGAAAGUCAACUGAGAAGGCCGAUGACAGAAGAGUGGAUUGGAAUUAAGAGAGCAUUGGCAAACAACGCGCAGACACGGCUGAUCUUCCUUUCACCGCCUCCUUUUUUCUCCAUACUCUGUCCCCACUCACUAGACAUGUUCUGGCUCCUUUGGCGCUGCAGGGAGCAAGGGGAUGUCACACGGGGAGAAGCAGUGAAGACCAGGAGGCCCUGUGGCCUCUGA